UACAGAGGGUGCGAGCGUUGUUCGGAAUUAUUGGGCGUAAAGGGCGCGUAGGCGGGCGCCACAAGUCACUUGUGAAAACUCUGGGCUCAACUCAGAGCCUGCAAGCGAAACUGUGGUGCUGGAGUAUGGGAGAGGUGCGUGGAAUUCCCGGUGUAGCGGUGAAAUGCGUAGAUAUCAGGAGGAAUACCGGUGGUGUAGACGGCUCUCUGGACCGCCACUGACGCUGAGACACGAAAGCGUGGGUAGCAAACAGG
rnacentral:rRNA from 1 species